UUUCUCNAGGAGGAAGAUCUGACGUUACUUGAGGAAUAAGCAUCGGCUAACCCUGUGCCAGCAGCCGCGGUAAUACAGGGGAUGCAAGUGUUAUCCGGAAUUAUUGGGCGUAAAGCGUCUGCAGGUUGAUAUUUAAGUCUUUUGUUAAACCUUCGGGCUCAACCCGGAAUCUGCAAAGGAAACUAUAUAUCUUGAGUAUGGUAGGGGUAAAGGGAAUUUCCAGUGGAGCGGUGAAAUGCGUAGAUAUUGGAAAGAACACCAACAGCGAAGGCACUUUACUGGGCCAGUACUGACACUCAGAGACGAAAGCUAGGGGAGCAAACANGGAUUAGAUACCCUGGUAGUCCUAGCUGUAAACGAUGGAUACUAGAUGUUGUGUACCUUCGGGUAUGCAGUGUCGUAGCUAACGCGUUAAGUAUCCCGCCU
rnacentral:rRNA from 1 species